rnacentral:rRNA from 1 species
UACGUAGGGUGCGAGCGUUAAUCGGAAUUACUGGGCGUAAAGCGUGCGCAGGCGGUGAUGUAAGACAGAUGUGAAAAUCCCCGGGCGUCAACCUGGGAACGUGCAUUUGUUGACUGCAUCGCUGGAGUGCGGCAGAGGGGGAGUGAAUUCCGCGUGUAGCAGUGAAAUGCGUAGAUAUGCGGAGGAACACCGAUGGCGAAGGCAAUCCCCU